rnacentral:rRNA from 1 species
UACGAGGGGGGCAAGCGUUGCUCGGAAUUACUGGGCGUAAAGCGCACGUAGGCGGCUUCUUAAGUCGGUGGUGAAAUCCUGGAGCUCAACUCCAGAACUGCCUUUGAUACUGCAAGUCUCGAGUCCGGAAGAGGUGAGUGGAAUUCCUAGUGUAGAGGUGAAAUUCGUAGAUAUUAGGAAGAACACCAGUGGCGAAGGCGGCUCACUGGUCCGGUACUGACGCUGAGGUGCGAAAGCGUAGGGAGCAAACAGG